CUACGGGGGGCUCCAGUGAGGAAUAUUGCACAAUGGGGGGAACCCUGAUGCAGCAACGCCGCGUGGAGGAUGACGCAUUUCGGUGUGUAAACUCCUUUUAUAUGUCAAGAAAAUGACGGUAGCAUAUGAAUAAGCACCGGCUAACUCCGUGCCAGCAGCCGCGGUAAUACGUGAGGGUGCAAGCGUUACUCGGAAUCACUGGGCGUAAAGGAUGCGUAGGCGGGUUGGAAAGUCAGGUGUGAAAUCCUACAGCUUAACUGUAGAACUGCACUUGAAACUUCUAAUCUAGAGUAUGGGAGGGGGAGAUGGAAUUAGUGGCGUAGGGGUAAAAUCCGUAGAUAUCACUAGGAAUACCUAAAGCGAAGGCGAUCUCCUGGAACAUUACUGACGCUAAGGCGUGAAAGCGUGGGGAGCAAACAGGAUUAGAUACCCGAGUAGUC
rnacentral:rRNA from 1 species